AAUCAUGGCUCAGGAUGAACGCUGGCGGCGCGCCUAACACAUGCAAGUCGAACGGCACCUAUCUUUCGGAUAGAAGCGAGUGGCGUAACGGCUGAGUAACACGUGGAGAACCUGCCCCCUCCCCCGGGAUAGCCGCCCGAAAGGACGGGUAAUACCGGGAUACCCCGGGGUGCCGCAUGGCACCCCGGCUAAAGCCCCGACGGGAGGGGAUGGCUCCGCGGCCCAUCAGGUAGACGGCGGGGUGAACGGCCCCACCGUGCCGACAACGGGUAGCCCGGGUUG
rnacentral:rRNA from 1 species